AGGACGAACGCUGGCGGCGUGCUUAACACAUGCAAGUCGAACGAGCCACCGACCUUCGGGUCUGUGGCUAGUGGCGAACGGGUGAGUAACACGUGAGCAACCUGCCCUUGACACUGGAAUAACAGUUGGAAACAGCUGCUAAUACCGGAUACGACCUUCGAUGGCAUCAUCUGGAGGUAGAAAGCUCCGACGGUCAAGGAUGGGCUCGCGGCCUAUCAGCUUGUUGGUGAGGUAACGGCGUCACCAAGGCUUCGACGGGUAGCC
rnacentral:rRNA from 1 species